rnacentral:rRNA from 1 species
GAUGAACGCUGGCGGCGUGCCUAACACAUGCAAGUCGAACGGAGUUAUUAUUAUGAAGUUUUCGGAUGGAUUAAUAAUAACUUAGUGGCGGACGGGUGAGUAACGCGUGGGUAACCUGCCUCAUACAGGGGGAUAACAGUUGGAAACGGCUGCUAAAACCGCAUAACAUUGCACUGCCGCAUGACAGAGCAAUUAAAUAUUUAUAGGUAUGAGAUGGGCCCGCGUCUGAUUAGCUAGUUGGUAAGGUAACGGCUUACCAAGGCGACGAUCAGUAGCCGGCUUGAGAGAGGGACCGGCCCCAUUGGGACUGAGACACGGCCCAAACUCCUACGGGAGGCAGCAGUGGGGAAUAUUGCACAAUGGGGGAAACCCUGAUGCAGCGACGCCGCGUGAGUGAAGAAGUAUUUCGGUAUGUAAAGCUCUAUCAGCAGGGAAGAAAAUGACGGUACCUGACUAAGAAGCCCCGGCUAACUACGUGCCAGCCGCCGCCGUAA